rnacentral:rRNA from 1 species
GGGUUGUGAGGUUAAGCGACUAAGCGUACACGGUGGAUGCCCUGGCAGUCAGAGGCGAUGAAGGACGUGCUAAUCUGCGAAAAGCGUCGGUAAGGUGAUAUGAACCGUUACAGCCGGCGAUGUCCGAAUGGGGAAACCCAGUGUGAUUCGUCACACUAUCGUUAACUGAAUACAUAGGUUAACGAGGCGAACCGGGGGAACUGAAACAUCUAAGUACCCCGAGGAAAAGAAAUCAACCGAGAUUCCCCCAGUAGCGGCGAGCGAACGGGGAGCAGCCCAGAGUCUGAAUCAGCUUGUGUGUUAGUGGAACGGUCUGGAAAGUCCGACGGUACAGGGUGAUAGUCCCGUACACCAAAAUGCACAGGCUGUGAACUCGAAGAGUAGGGCGGGACACGUGGUAUCCUGUCUGAAUAUGGGGGGACCAUCCUCCAAGGCUAAAUACUCCUGACUGACCGAUAGUGAACCAGUACCGUGAGGGAAAGGCGAAAAGAACCCCGGCGAGGGGAGUGAAAAAGAACCUGAAACCGUGUACGUACAAGCAGUGGGAGCACCUUCGGGUGUGACUGCGUACCUUUUGUAUAAUGGGUCAGCGACUUAUAUUCUGUAGCAAGGUUAACCGUAUAGGGGAGCCGCAGGGAAACCGAGUCUUAACUGGGCGUUAAGUUGCAGGGUAUAGACCCGAAACCCGGUGAUCUAGCCAUGGGCAGGUUGAAGGUUGGGUAACACUAACUGGAGGACCGAACCGACUAAUGUUGAAAAAUUAGCGGAUGACUUGUGGCUGGGGGUGAAAGGCCAAUCAAACCGGGAGAUAGCUGGUUCUCCCCGAAAGCUAUUUAGGUAGCGCCUCGUGAAUUCAUCUUCGGGGGUAGAGCACUGUUUCGGCUAGGGGGUCAUCCCGACUUACCAACCCGAUGCAAACUACGAAUACCGAAGAAUGUUAUCACGGGAGACACACGGCGGGUGCUAACGUCCGUCGUGAAGAGGGAAACAACCCAGACCGCCAGCUAAGGUCCCAAAGUCACAGUUAAGUGGGAAACGAUGUGGGAAGGCACAGACAGCCAGGAUGUUGGCUUAGAAGCAGCCAUCAUUUAAAGAAAGCGUAAUAGCUCACUGGUCGAGUCGGCCUGCGCGGAAGAUGUAACGGGGCUAAACUGUGCACCGAAGCUGCGGCAGCGACACUUAGGUGUUGUUGGGUAGGGGAGCGUUCUGUAAGCCUGCGAAGGUGGCCUGUGAGGGUUGCUGGAGGUAUCAGAAGUGCGAAUGCUGACAUAAGUAACGAUAAUGCGGGUGAAAAGCCCGCACGCCGGAAGACCAAGGGUUCCUGUCCAACGUUAAUCGGGGCAGGGUGAGUCGACCCCUAAGGCGAGGCCGAAAGGCGUAGUCGAUGGGAAACAGGUUAAUAUUCCUGUACUUGGUGUUACUGCGAAGGGGGGACGGAGAAGGCUAUGUUAGCCGGGCGACGGUUGUCCCGGUUUAAGCAUGUAGGCGGAGGUUCCAGGUAAAUCCGGUACCUUUUAACGCUGAGGUGUGAUGACGAGGCACUACGGUGCUGAAGUAACAAAUGCCCUGCUUCCAGGAAAAGCCUCUAAGCAUCAGGUAACAUUAAAUCGUACCCCAAACCGACACAGGUGGUCAGGUAGAGAAUACCAAGGCGCUUGAGAGAACUCGGGUGAAGGAACUAGGCAAAAUGGUGCCGUAACUUCGGGAGAAGGCACGCUGAUAUGUAGGUGAAGCCCCUGCGGGUGGAGCUGAAAUCAGUCGAAGAUACCAGCUGGCUGCAACUGUUUAUUAAAAACACAGCACUGUGCAAACACGAAAGUGGACGUAUACGGUGUGACGCCUGCCCGGUGCCGGAAGGUUAAUUGAUGGGGUUAUCCGUAAGGAGAAGCUCUUGAUCGAAGCCCCGGUAAACGGCGGCCGUAACUAUAACGGUCCUAAGGUAGCGAAAUUCCUUGUCGGGUAAGUUCCGACCUGCACGAAUGGCGUAAUGAUGGCCAGGCUGUCUCCACCCGAGACUCAGUGAAAUUGAACUCGCUGUGAAGAUGCAGUGUACCCGCGGCAAGACGGAAAGACCCCGUGAACCUUUACUAUAGCUUGACACUGAACAUUGAGCCUUGAUGUGUAGGAUAGGUGGGAGGCUUUGAAGCGUGGACGCCAGUCUGCGUGGAGCCAACCUUGAAAUACCACCCUUUAAUGUUUGAUGUUCUAACGUUGGCCCCUAAUCGGGGUUGCGGACAGUGUCUGGUGGGUAGUUUGACUGGGGCGGUCUCCUCCCAAAGAGUAACGGAGGAGCACGAAGGUUAGCUAAUCCUGGUCGGACAUCAGGAGGUUAGUGCAAUGGCAUAAGCUAGCUUGACUGCGAGCGUGACGGCGCGAGCAGGUGCGAAAGCAGGUCAUAGUGAUCCGGUGGUUCUGAAUGGAAGGGCCAUCGCUCAACGGAUAAAAGGUACUCCGGGGAUAACAGGCUGAUACCGCCCAAGAGUUCAUAUCGACGGCGGUGUUUGGCACCUCGAUGUCGGCUCAUCACAUCCUGGGGCUGAAGUAGGUCCCAAGGGUAUGGCUGUUCGCCAUUUAAAGUGGUACGCGAGCUGGGUUUAGAACGUCGUGAGACAGUUCGGUCCCUAUCUGCCGUGGGCGCUGGAGAAUUGAGGGGGGCUGCUCCUAGUACGAGAGGACCGGAGUGGACGCAUCACUGGUGUUCGGGUUGUCAUGCCAAUGGCAUUGCCCGGUAGCUAAAUGCGGAAGAGAUAAGUGCUGAAAGCAUCUAAGCACGAAACUUGCCCCGAGAUGAGUUCUCCCUGAGACUUUAAGUCUCCUGAAGGAACGUUAAAGACGAUGACGUUGAUAGGUCGGGUGUGUAAGCGUAGCGAUACGUUGAGCUAACCGAUACUAAUGAACCGUGAGGCUUAACCUUACAACGCCGAAGGUGUUU